rnacentral:tRNA from 1 species
GGAGAGGUGUCCGAGUUGGUCGAAGGAGCACGACUCGAAAUCGUGUAGGCGGGGAACCGUCUCGUGGGUUCGAAUCCCACCCUCUCCGCCA